rnacentral:rRNA from 1 species
CUUGGUCAUUUAGAGGAAGUAAAAGUCGUAACAAGGUCUCCGUAGGCGAACCUGCGGAGGGAUCAUUACACAAAUAUGAAGGCGGGCUGGAACCUCUCGGGGUUACAGCCUUGCUGAAUUAUUCACCCAUGUCUUUUGCGUACUUCUUGUUUCCUUGGUGGGUUCGCCCACCACUAGGACAAACAUAAACCUUUUGUAAUUGCAAUCAGCGUCAGUAACAAAUUAAUAAUUACAACUUUCAACAACGGAUCUCUUGGUUCUGGCAUCGAUGAAGAACGCAGCGAAAUGCGAUAAGUAGUGUGAAUUGCAGAAUUCAGUGAAUCAUCGAAUCUUUGAACGCACAUUGCGCCCUUUGGUAUUCCAAAGGGCAUGCCUGUUCGAGCGUCAUUUGUACCCUCAAGCUUUGCUUGGUGUUGGGCGUCUUGUCUCUAGCUUUGCUGGAGACUCGCCUUAAAGUAAUUGGCAGCCGGCCUACUGGUUUCGGAGCGCAGCACAAGUCGCACUCUCUAUCAGCAAAGGUCUAGCAUCCAUUAAGCCUUUUUUUCAACUUUUGACCUCGGAUCAGGUAGGGAUACCCGCUGAACUUAAGCAUAUCAAUAAGCGGAGGA